rnacentral:rRNA from 1 species
CCCUUAGAUGUCCUGGGCCGCACGCGCGCUACACUGACAUGUUCAACAAGCCUCCUAGUUCGACAGGAUUUGGGAAAUCUUUGAACGCAUGUCGUGAUAGGGAUAGAUCAUUGCAAUUAUUGAUCUUGAACGAGGAAUUCCUAGUAAACGCGAGUCAUCAGCUCGCAUUGAUUACGUCCCUGCCCUUUGUACACACCGCCCGUCGCACCUACCGAUUGAAUGUUUCGGUGAAGAUUCCGGAUAGGACUUUUUUGAUUUAUUUCAAUUUUGUCUUAAAAGCUAUCUAAACCUCAACAUUCAGAGGAAGGUGAAGUCGUAACA